rnacentral:rRNA from 1 species
UACGAGGGGGGCAAGCGUUGUUCGGAAUUACUGGGCGUAAAGGGCUCGUAGGCGGCCAACUAAGUCAGACGUGAAAUCCCUCGGCUUAACCGGGGAACUGCGUCUGAUACUGGAUGGCUUGAGAUUGGGAGAGGGAUGCGGAGUUCCAGGUGUAGCGGUGAAAUGCGUAGAUAUCUGGAGGAACACCGGUGGCGAAGGCGGCAUCCUGGACCAACACUGACGCUGAGGAGCGAAAGCCAGGGGAGCAAACGGG